AAAACAUUUAACUUGAAGAAUUUUGAGCAAUUGAUGGUAUGUGAAUCGCCUAUGGAAGGUCUUAUAUAUUUCUUGAUAAUUUGAUGUAUAUCCAAUAUAGCUUCAACAUAAGUGGUCACAAAGUUAAGAAUAAGGAAUCAAUGUCAUGGUCGGACGAGAAUGAACACUCUUUUAUCGAAAUUCUUUACGAGCAAGUGAAAUCAAAUGCAUUGCAAUGUUCUGUAUUCACAAAAGACAAAUGGGGCAAGAGCAAUGAAAUCAUGAUAGCUUCGACAAAAAUGGAUUACGGCAUAGAUAGAUCAAAGGGAAAGUGGAACUGUUUAGGUAAGAUUCAUUGCAUAUUCUCUGAACUUUUGGGACAUACAGGUGUUACAUGAGAUCUAAAUACCAACAAAGUUAAUGCUGCAGAGGAAGUCUAGCAACACUUUUAUACAGUACAUAUAUUUAUUAAAGAAUAUUUUCGUCAUUAGUUUUUAUCUUAUCAAUUUUACAAUUUUUUGUUGAACAAUAUGAUAAGGUGGCUUCUUUUUUCAAUGGUAGAUAAACAAAUCGGAUUACAAGAUGUUCAAAAGGAAAGGAUAUAAGCACUACCACACUCUUUGGAAGAUAUUUAGCAAGACCACAGCUACUGGAGGAUUAGGCAAUGCCUCCACUCAACUUCCAAACACAUCAGAGAAAGAAAGACAAUUAGAAGAUAAUUUUUUGAACAGGGGGUACAUGUACGUUCGGAAAAUGAUGAUGAAUUUGAUGAGGUUUUAAAUACUCGUUGACGUGAUGAAAUUGGUACAUUGGAUGAACAUCGACGGAGGAAACCUAAGAUCAGUAAAUGAGGUUUAUAUGAAAGCAAUAAAGACUUUUAAGGAUCCCGAUUUUAGGGUGCCAUUUGUGAAUAUGCCAGAAGCAAGAAAAAGACCUAUCUUGGAACUAUUUUGACGUGACUGUUGUUUUCAUUUCUCUAGUGUUGUGUUGUUUUAAUUNAUGAUAAUGUGAG
rnacentral:lncRNA from 1 species